rnacentral:rRNA from 1 species
AUUGAACGCUGGCGGCAGGCCUAACACAUGCAAGUCGAGCGAGCGGCGGACGGGUGAGUAAUGUAUGGGGACUGCCCGAUAGAGGGGGAUAACUCCUGGAAACGGUAGCUAAUACCGCAUACUAUCGGAUAACCCAUAUGGGCUUAUCUAGUGGGUGAGGUAAUGGCUCACCUAGGAGACGAUCCCUAGCUGGUCUGAGAGAAUGAUCAGCCACACGGGAGCUUAGGAACGGCCCAGCGACGAAGGAAGGGAGAAGGUGGGAUUAUUGCACAAGGGGUGCAAGGCUGAUGCUGCCAUUAGGCGUGUAUGAAGAAGGCCUUAGGUGUGUAAGGUAGUUUCAGUCGGGAGGCGUUACCGACAGAAGAAGCACAGGCUAACUCCGUGCCAGCCGCCGCGGUAAUAC